GCAACGCGAAGAAUCUUACCUACUCUUGACAUCCAGCGAAGCCUUUAGAGAUAGAGGCGUGCCUUCGGGAGCGCUGAGACAGGUGCUGCAUGGCUGUCGUCAGCUCGUGUUGUGAAAUGUUGGGUUAAGUCCCGCAACGAGCGCAACCCUUAUCCUUGUUUGCCAGCACGUAAUGGUGGGAACUCCAGGGAGACUGCCGGUGAUAAACCGGAGGAAGGUGGGGACGACGUCAAGUCAUCAUGGCCCUUACGAGUAGGGCUACACACGUGCUACAAUGGCAGAUACAGAGGGCAGCGAGACAGCGAUGUUUAGCGAAUCCCUUAAAGUUUGUCGUAGUCCGGAUUGGAGUCUGCAACUCGACUCCAUGAAGUCGGAAUCGCUAGUAAUCGUGGAUCAGAAUGCCACGGUGAAUACGUUCCCGGGCCUUGUACACACCGCCCGU
rnacentral:rRNA from 1 species